rnacentral:rRNA from 1 species
CGGGACGGGUGAGUAAUGUCUGGGAAACUGCCCGAUGGAGGGGGAUAACUACUGGAAACGGUAGCUAAUACCGCAUAACGUCGCAAGACCAAAGAGGGGACCUUAGGGCCUCUUGCCAUCGGAUGUGCCCAGAUGGGAUUAGCUAGUAGGUGGGGUAACGGCUCACCUAGGCGACGAUCCCUAGCUGGUCUGAGAGGAUGAUCAGCCACACUGGGACUGAGACACGGCCCAG